GGAAGGGGCGAGCAGCGCGCACGCUCCCUCCCGGCCCCGCUCGAACUUUCUGGAAGCGGCGGCGGCGGCACGGGGCGGCAGGCUGCGGGAUGACCCCCGGCUCGGCUCCGCUCCCCCCCCCCCCCCUCACCCCCGGCCCGGUUCCCGGCGGGCGCGGCCCCCUCCUCCCGCCGCCCCCGCCCCUUCCCCGGGGGGGGGGGUUCCGGCAGUGAUGGCGCAGUGAGUUUUAACGGCCGGCGCUGCGCAUGCGCGGCGGGACGCGGGCCGGCCCUGAGGGAAGGUGGGGGGGGUGCGCGCUGAGGGCCAGGCUGAGGCCGGCGGCACAUAGAGGGGCUGCGGAGCCAAGGCGGCGUCGGCCCUGUUAAAGACAGGGCGUCCCUCAGCGCUCCCCGUUAAAAUGGGGCUGGCAUCUGCUCAUUAAAAUACACAGCGUGGCUUUAACGGCGUGUGUGUGUGGUUCUGGGCUCGGGGGGCUUCAGGCGGCACCCCCAGGCUGCUCCUGCGGGUGGGCUGCGGGUCCGAGCCCCGAGGGGGCAGCUGAACAAAGGCCUGCAUCCGACAGAGCUCCUACUGCCCUGUUUUCACCUGUUACUGCGAAUAAAGCGACAAUUCCUCAGCGUUUACCAAGUCGGAAAUGUGAAUUGUUCCCAAUUAAAGGAUAUUGGGAAAAUGAAACAUCUGCUUCGGUUCAAACAGAAAUAUUCUGACAAUUAUUUGUUUUGGUGGAUGACUUAAUAUACAAACCUUGCUUGAAUAAUCAGUCCGUGGCGUUAGCAAGAAAAAAAUGUUUCUGUGUUUAAAAAAAGAAUUGAAAGUGCUGUGGUGUUCCCCUUUAUAGAAACAAAGGCAUUCCUCACACCCACCAUCUUUAAUGGUCUGACAUGCUGGAAUAAAUAAGGCGGAUAAAAAAUGGGUGCCAACCUCUUUUCUGUUCCAUAUGCUACAGAUAAUACCUUAUUUUGAUGAAGAGUAACUCUUGAGUGGACAAGGUCCACCACAAAUAGAGAUUAGCAUCACACAUCUUGAAUAUUCGCAUGCUACGCAACAUGUGCUUUAGGCUGCAGUAUUUCCCUCAGGAAACUUUCAGAACUCAUCAAGCAAGUUAAGACAGCAUUACACUAGCAGUACUGUAUAUUUUAAGUUAAUAGCUACGCUAACUUAAAACUAAUUCAUAGUUACGGGUUUUCCAAAUAUACUGUCAUGCCUCUGAUUCCAGUUCUAUACUGAAAAAAGAGAAGCCAAAAAAAGGAAGUGACUGCAUUGACACGAACUAGAUUUUCAAAGCAGAAUUCUCUUUUUUGUUUUUUAAAGAGUAUUUCCAUGUUCUCAGUCACAAUCAUGGCUACGGACAAAACUCAAGAAUAACCAGAAUGCGACAGUGGGUAACACCAACUUUUACAACUUCAGAUACAACUUCUGACUCUCAUACAGUACUAAGAUGCUGUAUUUACAUAAAAUAUGAAGCGCAAAAGACAAGGCACUAAUCCCCUUGACAAUUAUGAUUUUAAAAAGAAAAAAAAAAAUCAGUCUUUAAGCUACAGCUAGUACAUUUUUGAUUAUAGUACAAGAACAAAUUCUAGCAAAGGAAAAGAGCCUAGCACUGGGUUCAAAGAGGCACCCAGAACAAGGCAUGGCCAUUGCUUCAUUCCUCACAAACGCAGAGAAAAAAAGGAAAAUUCUGGAUGUGCUUUCCAUCACUCUUCAUCAUAGAUCAAACCUGGAGUACACAAGAAUUAAGCCUUGAGCCAAGGACUCAGCAUUCUUCAGCAAAAUCAAUCACUUCCAGCUAAUAAGUAUUAGGAAGAGACUUCCUAAAUAAAGUUGCAGGAUUUCAGUUAUUUCUAUUUUUAAGCCAGAAAGUCAAAAAUUACUGGCUUCUUGUAAAAUUUUUUAUAUAGAUAACAGAUCGAUGUUGUGAAGAGGACUGAAACUUCCCUUGUGGCACUCCCAAAGAGAGAUUCAGAGGAGCUAUGUAAACUCUGUUCAGCCUUUCCAUUAGCACUCACCAGAACCAAGUAGCCCCUAAAUGGGAAAAAGGGCACACUGGGUGCAGAAACAAUGUUCUCCUGCUUAAGAAAAUGAGGUACCAAAAAUCUGGCAAUCUGGCAAAAAAGUAGACGCCAUGCCAUCAGUUAGACAUGGAUUAACAUUCAGUAUAAUUAGGUACACUGGUAACACAUUAAAUCUAUACUAAAAUAUACACUACCAAUGAGCUUCAUGCUUCAAGAUACUAAAAAAAAAUAAAAUAGCAACUGAUAGCCCAAGUGACUAUCAGUAGCAAUUGGAUGUUUUCAAGCAUCAUGGUUUAUGAGUUUUAAUCAUCGCUUAGUGUUCUGUAAUCUUAUCUCUCCACAUCCCACUUAAUGGCAUUUUGGACUUCUGUUAAAUUAGCAUUCUUGCAAACCCUUUAAAAAUGUAACUGAUUAAAAGUGUUUCUUUGGGGGGGGACGGGACACAAUAGAAAUAACAUUUUACUCUAUACCAUCAUGGCCUGAUGCUUUUUGGACUUUCUCCACAGUGUCUAUACAACCCCAUGCUGUACAUUUUCUUCUUCUUUUCCAUUAUGUACUCCUAAAUGACAAAACCAGGCUGUUUGUGCUUCCAGAUUAUAAACUGUCUGCAUUACUUCAAAUGUCAAGACACACCUCUGAAACAAAGCCCAAAGCAGAACACCUAUUGAAUGCACUUAUUUAGGGGAGGUGGUUUAGUGCUACUGUAUGGAAAGGCAAAACCUGGUAAUUAAAGCAAGCUGACUUUUAGCAGGUGAUGCAUCAUCUUAACUUGCUCAUUAAAUGAGAAAAGAAGAAACUGGGAACUACUGUAACCGCAAAAAGGCGAUGAUGCAGAGUUUAAAAAAAAUUCCAAAGGAAAAAUGCGUUCUUUCUCAAUCUGAAAGCCACCUGUGAAACUGCUCAUUCUACUGGAUGGAUAUGCCAAAACACCACUUCCACGAGAAUCUCCAUCCAUGAUCUCAUCAUCUCCAUAUGAAAACAAGAGCAUUUACAAUGCGUGUUCUUACAGAGACCAGGACAUCAAUACAUUAUCGCACAGAUGAAGUGUUUCAGGAACGAGAAAG